UACGGAGGGAGCUAGCGUUAUUCGGAAUUACUGGGCGUAAAGCGCACGUAGGCGGCUUUGUAAGUUAGAGGUGAAAGCCUGGGGCUCAACCCCAGAAUUGCCUUUAAGACUGCAUCGCUUGAAUCCAGGAGAGGUGAGUGGAAUUCCGAGUGUAGAGGUGAAAUUCGUAGAUAUUCGGAAGAACACCAGUGGCGAAGGCGGCUCACUGGACUGGUACUGACGCUGAGGCACGACAGCGUGGGGAGCGAACAGG
rnacentral:rRNA from 1 species